GUAUGUAAGCGCAAUCUGGCUGUGACAUCUGUCACCUCAUUGAUUGCCAGAGUUGGUUCAGCUGAUCUGGUUGGCUGAUGGGUCCCCCCUUUCCUCCCUCACAACUCCAUGUGCAUCCCUCCCAAAGCUGCGUGCUUGGUUUUAGAGGUUGGCCUUCCCCAAAUAGAGACAGCCAGUUUUCAGUCCUCAGUCAAAGAUGACUGUGCUCCCCCACUAGAACCUUCAAGAAAAUAAAAUGUGGAUUUAGAAAUUGACUAUAAAGCCUUUUAAAAAGGCUUCCUUU
rnacentral:snRNA from 1 species